GCGGAGAUGGUGGAAUUGGUAGACACGUUGCCUUGAGGUGGCAAUAGAGUAAAUCUAUAAGGGUUCAAGUCCCUUUUUCCGUA
rnacentral:tRNA from 1 species